GAUGAACGCUGGCGGCGUGCCUAACACAUGCAAGUCGAGCGAACAGACGCGGAGUUUGUUCCUCUGACGUUUGCGGAGGACGGGUGUGUCACACGUGGAAAACCCACCUAUCUGACUGGGAUAACUUCGGGACGGCGGAGAUAAUACCGGACAAUAUAUUGAAGCGUAUGGACUUUUAGUGAAAUAUGGCUUUGGUGGCUGUUCUAGCUGGCUCCGAGCUGCUUUGGGUGGUUGGUAAGGUAACGGCCUACCAAGGCGAGCAUGCGUACGCGACCUGAGAGGGGGAUCGGCCACACGGGAACGGGAACACGGUCCAGGCUCCUACGGGAGGCAGCAGUAGGGAAUCGGACGCAGUGGGCGAAAGCCUUACAGAGCAACGCCGCGUGUGAGAUGAAGGUCUUCGGAUCGGAAAGCUCUGUUAUGAGGUGAAAACAAAUGUGUGAGUAACUGUACACGUCGUGACGGUACCUGAACAAAAAGCCACGGCUAACUACGUG
rnacentral:rRNA from 1 species